AGCGAACGCUGGCGGCAGGCCUAACACAUGCAAGUCGAACGGAUCCUUCGGGAUUAGUGGCGGACGGGUGAGUAACACGUGGGAACGUGCCCUUUGGUUCGGAACAACUCAGGGAAACUUGAGCUAUUACCGGAUGUGCCCUUCGGGGGAAAGAUUUAUCGCCAUUGGAGCGGCCCGCGUCUGAUUAGCUAGUUGGUGGGGUAAAGGCCCACCAAGGCGACGAUCAGUAGCUGGUCUGAGAGGAUGAUCAGCCACAUUGGGACUGAGACACGGCCCAAACUCCUACGGGAGGCAGCAGUGGGGAAUCUUGCGCAAUGGGCGAAAGCCUGACGCAGCCAUGCCGCGUGAAUGAUGAAGGUCUUAGGAUUGCAAAAUUCUUUCACCGGGGACGAUAAUGACGGUACCCGGAGAAGAAGCCCCGGCUAACUUCGUGCCAGCCGCCGCGGUAA
rnacentral:rRNA from 1 species